rnacentral:rRNA from 1 species
CCCUUAGAUGUUCUGGGCUGCACGCGUGCUACACUGAUUACUUCAACAAGUGUUUUAACUGGAGAGUUUGCGUAAUCCUGAAAUGUUAUCGUGAUGGGAGUAGAGUAUUGUAUUUGUUAAUCUUUAACGAGGAAUUCCUAGUAAGUGUAGGUUUAUAAGUUGUUCUGAUUACGCCCCUGCCCUUUGUACACACCGCCCGUCGCUCCUACCGAUUGAUUGAUCCGGUGAAUUACAUAGAAUUUUGCGUUUUACAUGACGGAAGAUGAAGUGUUUUAAACCUUAUCAUUUAGAGGAAGGAGAAGUCGUAACA